CUGCCCCUGGAACUGAAACGCAUCCAACAAUCUUGCUAACAUAGACAGAAAGAAAGAACGGACGCAAACCAUCAAGUGUAACUGCCUCUCCUCUCCACAUUUUCGGGACCUGAUAGCAAACGCGCACAAAAUCCGCAAAGGACCGGCCUUGCACUGCAUAAACAGGUGCCUUUCCAGCCCCCUUUCCGCAAUGGCUUGGACCUUCCGCUCCUUCCGCUUCUCUCCUCUCUACUCUGCAGGUGGCAUCACACCGAGUGGCCAAAACCGAGAGACGGGAAAAUGGAUACAGGGAUCCAUAUUUGGUAGCACAAAGAGAAGAGAUUUUGGGGUCUCACAGUAACUUCCAGCAGACAGUGUGGUGUGUUACCCAUCCCCCUUCAGCAACAAUGAAUUCAUUCCGUA
rnacentral:lncRNA from 1 species